rnacentral:rRNA from 2 species
CUGCGGCCUAUCAGCUUGUUGGUGAGGUAAUGGCCCACCAAGGCGAUUACAGGUACGGGCUCUGAGAGGAGAAGCCCGGAGAUGGGUACUGAGACACGGACCCAGGCCCUAUGGGGCGCAGCAGGCGAGAAAACUUUGCAGUGUGCGAAAGCACGACAAGGUUAGUCCGAGUGAUUUCUGCUAAAGAAAUCUUUUGCCAGUUCUAAAACUACUAGUGAAUAAGGGGUGGGCAAGUUCUGGUGUCAGCCGCCGCGGUAAAACCAGCACCUCAAGUGGUCAGGAGGAUUAUUGGGCCUAAAGCAUCCGUAGCCUGCUUUGUUAGUUUUCGGUUAAAUCCAUGCGCUCAACGCAUGGGCCGCCGAAAAUACUGCACAGCUAGGGAGUGGGAGAGGUAGACGGUACUCAGUAGGAAGGGGUAAAAUCCUUUGAUCUAUUGAUGACCACCUGUGGCGAAGGCGGUCUACCAGAACACGU